UGAGCAACGUUGCCCGUAUGUGGGGGAUAGUCAUUUAGAAAUGAUGCGUAAUACCCCGUAACACGAAGGACCGCAUGAUCUUUCGUUUGAUUAGAUUUUAUUGCAUACGGAUCGGCUCGCGUACCAUUAGCUAGAUGGCGGGGUAACGGCCCACCAUGGCGACGAUGGUUAGGGGUUCUGAGAGGAAGGUCCCCCACAUUGGAACUGAGACACGGUCCAGACUCCUACGGGAGGCAGCAGUGAGGAAUAUUGGACAAUGGCCGGAAGGCUGAUCCAGCCAUGCCGCGUGCGGGAAGACGGCCCUAUGGGUUGUAAACCGCUUUUGCCGGGGAGCAAUAAGAGCAACGUGUUGUUCGAUGAGAGUACCCGGCGAAUAAGCAUCGGCUAACUCCGUGCC
rnacentral:rRNA from 1 species